rnacentral:rRNA from 1 species
ACGAUCAGGUAGAUAGGCUAGAAGUGGAAGUGCAGUGAUGUAUGGAGCGGACUAGUACUAAUCGGUCGAGGACUUAUCCAA